rnacentral:rRNA from 1 species
GACGAACGCUGGCGGCGUGCUUAACACAUGCAAGUCGAACGGUGAAGCGCCUUCCUUUUUGGUGGGUGUGGAUGAGUGGCGAACGGGUGAGUAACACGUGAGUAACCUGCCCCCUUCUUCUGGAUAACCGCAUGAAAGUGUGGCUAAUACGGGAUAUUCUGGGUCUGUCGCAUGAUGGGUCUGGGAAAGAUAUUGUUUCGGUGGGGGAUGGGCUCGCGGCCUAUCAGCUUGUUGGUGGGGUGAUGGCCUACCAAGGCGGUGACGGGUAGCCGGCCUGAGAGGGUGGACGGUCACACUGGGACUGGGACGCGGCCCAGACUCCUACGGGAGGCAGCAGUGGGGAAUAUUGCACAAUGGGCGCAAGCCUGAUGCAGCGACGCCGCGUGAGGGAUGGAGGCCUUCGGGUUGUGAACCUCUUUCGCCAGUGAAGCAGGCCUGCCUCGUUUGUGGGUGGGUUGACGGUAGCUGGAUAAGAAGCGCCGGCUAACUACGUG